rnacentral:lncRNA from 1 species
CACUAUGUAUAAACAACUAUAUAAACAUGAAAACCACUAUUUAUAAACAACUAUAUAAACAUGAAAACUACUCAGUAUACACAACUAUAUAAAUAUCGAAAACCACUGCCACUGCUCCAGUAAGAAUACGAUUUGAACUUACCUAAAAACAAACCCACAAAAAAAGAAAAAAAUGAAAAUAGAAAUUAGAGAUUAUAUAGGGUGUUUUGUGCUAAUAACUCUCAUUUUCUUCGAUCACCAAUUUCUACAGAUGAAUCCACCAUUAAAGAACAACAAGUUCACAUCAAAGCAUCCGAUUUUCCAAAUGGGUUUCUCUUUGGAGCUUCCACUUCUGCUUAUCAAGUCUGUAUUUCUCUCUCUCUCUCUCUCUCUUCAUCUUAUAAUUAUAGAUCGAAGGAUGCGGCGGGUGGUGGGGGGCUACAGUGAUAGCAAAAUAAAGUGGCAGGAGUGUGGUGAUGGGUGGUUGUUGGAUUUGCUAGAGAAGAUGAUGGUUGGAUUGGGUGGGGGGAAGGAGAGUGGGUGUUGAAGAGAGAUAAUGUGAUAAAUAAUGGUUAGAAGUCUGUAGAAGUUUAGGGUUAAACACAAGGGUAUAAUAAUAGUGAUACAUAAUUAAUUUUUGUUAGUUAAAAAUGUUUUGAAUUUAUCUUAAAAUAAUAAAAAAAGAUUGGACUCAUUGUAACUACACAUGUGUAACUACUACUAGGG